rnacentral:lncRNA from 1 species
AAGGGCUGUAGCCGUCACACUUGAGCCACAUUCUCUUGGCAGAUUCAUUUUGGAGGGCUGGGAGAAUUUUUUACNGAGCUUGUUCUUCAAACAUGAUGUUUACUGUGAUUGGUAUUGGAUAAAUGGAAAGGAAUACCUUACUCUUUCUUUCUUUAUUUUCGGUCCAGCACUUGAAUUUUCUUAUCUUCAUUUGAUUCCACG